UUAGUUGCUACGAAAGGGCACUAUAAUGAGACUGCCGGUGACAAACCGGAGGAAGGUGGGGAUGACGUCAAGUCCUCAUGGCCCUUAUGGGUAGGGCUUCACACGUCAUACAAUGGUCGGGACAGAGGGUCGCCAACCCGCGAGGGGGAGCCAAUCCCAGAAACCCGAUCGUAGUCCGGAUCGCAGUCUGCAACUCGACUGCGUGAAGUCGGAAUCGCUAGUAAUCGCGGAUCAGCAUGUC
rnacentral:rRNA from 1 species